AACGCACGAGACCUGCGGACCUGCGGAGGGAUCAUUGUCGGUUCUUCUCUUGACGGUUUUUUAAACCCGCCUCUGCGCGGCUCGAGGCAACUCGAUACCCUCGGCUCGACUCGUGCCGGCAGGAUCUCGGUCCUCAAAACGCGGUCGUCACCCAUGCCAUUAGUUUCAGAAUGUAACCGCAGGCAGCAAUGCCAAUGCAAUCAAUUACAACUUUCAACAACGGAUCUCUAGAUCGGAAGA
rnacentral:misc_RNA from 1 species